rnacentral:rRNA from 1 species
GACGAACGCUGGCGGCGUGCUUAACACAUGCAAGUCGAACGGAAAGGCCUCUUUCGGGGGGUACUCGAGUGGCGAACGGGUGAGUAACACGUGAGUAACCUGCCCUUGACUUUGGGAUAACUUCAGGAAACUGGGGCUAAUACCGGAUAGGAGCUCCUGCGUCAUGGUGGGGGUUGGAAAGUUUCGGCGGUUGGGGGUGGACUCGCGGCUUAUCAGCUUGUUGGUGGGGUAGUGGCUUACCAAGGCUUUGACGGGUAGCCGGCCUGAGAGGGUGACCGGCCACAUUGGGACUGAGAUACGGCCCAGACUCCUACGGGAGGCAGCAGUGGGGAAUAUUGCACAAUGGGUGGAAGCCUGAUGCAGCAACGCCGUGUGCGGGAUGACGGCCUUCGGGUUGUAAACCGCUUUCGCUCAUGACGAAGCUUUGUGUGACGGUAGUGGGUAAAGAAGCACCGGCUAACUACGUG